CGGGGAGUAGCACAGCCUGGUAGUGCACUCGCUUUGGGAGCGAGGGGUCGGAGGUUCGAAUCCUCUCUCCCCGACCA
rnacentral:tRNA from 2 species